AUGUUCUACAAAAUCCACUCCCAUGCCCAAAUCCAAGACCUGCAGGCCCGCUCCGAUGAGCUGGGCCACUCCAAUGAGCACAUGGAUGUGAAUCUUGUCUCUCUGGAGUCGGUGCGCAUAGCGUGCGAGUCGUAUGCACUCCUCUGCCCGCUGAUCAUGGAGUCGGGGUCCUGGGAAUGCCCGGAGCUGGAUUCCCUCUCGGUCGUGGCAGGCUUGUCGCUGGAAAUCCAAAAGCUGGAGCAUGAUGUGUUACCCCAGCUCAUGGUUCAGGAGGCCAAGCUGGAACGGGGCGCCCUGGAAGCCAUCCUACUCAUGAAGAACUCAGAAAUUAAGCUCUCACAUCUGGGCAAGUGCUUUAAGGAAGCCUUGGGCGUAUUGAAGGAGGAUCUAGUCUCAGCCCAAGUCAAAGAUCUGAGCAUAGUGCUAAACGAUAUUGUUGUUCAUGUACUCGAAGGUAAUUGCUACGGUGCCUGGCUUCAGGCGCGUCUCCCGGUGCUGAUCCAGCUGGUCACCGAUGUGUUGGAGACCCCGGUUCGUUUCUGUGAUCCUGAUGAGUGCUCUGAUGAGUAG
rnacentral:rRNA from 1 species